AUUCCGAUCGCUGCUUGUUAUUCAACAUUUGAGCAUUGCCAGACAAAGUUACCAGAGCCAUGUGAACGAAGACUAUCCGAUCAGAGCGGAAGCCUCAGCCACGAGGCAGACAAAAGCCAACCUUUACAGCCACCAAAAAGGCCGAAAACGAACCAGAAGAGAAUUCGGAGAAGCAGCAUGAGAACGAGAAGCAGAGGCCACGAGUCAGAUAGUCCAGCCGACGAGGAUUCGAGAGAAAGCUUUGCUGAUUUGGAGUCUGAACUGAUUGCGAUGGUCGCGUUCGAUGAGAAAUGCAUCGUUCCCAACACACCACCACCAGCAAACACGACAGAAGAAACCGUCACAAAGGCUGUCAAUGUAGAUCAAUGUGAGCAAAAUG